GACGAACGCUGGCGGCGUGCUUAACACAUGCAAGUCGAACGAUGAAGUAAAGAAUCUAAGCUUCGGCAGAAAUUCAUUUCGGAUUAGUGGCAGACGGGUGAGUAACGCGUGAGCAACCUACCUCUUACAAAGGGAUAGCCUCGGUAAACCGGGAUUAAUACCAUAUAACAUUGCGACGAAGCAUUUCGAUGCAAUCAAAGCUACGUCGGUAAGAGAUGGGCUCGCGUCCCAUUAACCGGAUGGUGAGGUAACGGCGCACCAUAGUGACGGUGGGUAACCGGCCUGAGAGGGGGACCGGACACAUUGGAGAGGCGACAGGGGGCAAUCUCCCACGAGAGGCAGAAGUGGGAAAUAUCGCACAAGGGAGGGAACUGAGAUGCAGCGACGCCGCGUGAGUGAUGAAGGAAGGAGUACAGAAAUGUUCUGUACUAUGGGAAGAAAGGGGCUGUACAAUAGGAGAAACCCCGGUCAAAACAUG
rnacentral:rRNA from 1 species